rnacentral:rRNA from 1 species
CAGAGGGUGCAAACGUUGUUCGGAAUUACUGGGCGUAAAGCGCGUGUAGGCUGCUUUGCAAGUCGGAUGUGAAAGCCCCGGGCUCAACCUGGGAAGUGCACUCGAAACUGCAGAGCUCGAGUCCUGGAGAGGAAGGCGGAACUCUCGGUGUAGAGGUGAAAUUCGUAGAUAUCGAGAGGAACACCGGUGGCGAAGGCGGCCUUCUGGACAGUGACUGACGCUGAGACGCGAAAGCGUGGGGAGCAAACAGGAUUAGAUACCCUGGUAGUCCACGCCGUAAACGAUGGGUGCUAGGUGUCGCGGGCUUUGACCCCUGCGGUGCCGCAGCUAACGCAUUAAGCACCCCGCCUGGGGAGUACGGCCGCAAGGCUA